rnacentral:rRNA from 1 species
UACGUAGGGUGCAAGCGUUGUCCGGAAUUAUUGGGCGUAAAGAGCUCGUAGGCGGUUUGUCGCGUCGGCUGUGAAAACCCGGGGCUCAACCCCGGGCCUGCAGUCGAUACGGGCAGACUAGAGUGCGGUAGGGGGGACUGGAAUUCCUGGUGUAGCGGUGAAAUGCGCAGAUAUCAGGAGGAACACCGGUGGCGAAGGCGGGUCUCUGGGCCGUAACUGACGCUGAGGAGCGAAAGCGUGGGGAGCGAACAGG